CCUACGGGUGGCAGCAGUGAGGAAUAUUGGUCAAUGGUCGGGAGACUGAACCAGCCAAGCCGCGUGAGGGAAGAAGGUACAGCGUAUCGUAAACCUCUUUUGUCAGGGAACAAAGGCGGGGACUCGUCCCCGGAUGAGGGUACCUGAAGAAAAAGCAUCGGCUAACUCCGUGCCAGCAGCCGCGGUAAUACGGAGGAUGCGAGCGUUAUCCGGAUUUAUUGGGUUUAAAGGGUGCGCAGGCGGCCUGUUAAGUCAGCGGUCAAAGCCCGGGGCUCAACCCCGGCGAGCCGUUGAAACUGGCAGUCUGGAGUUGGAGAGAAGUACGCGGAAUGCGCGGUGUAGCGGUGAAAUGCUUAGAUAUCGCGCAGAACUCCGAUUGCGAAGGCAGCGUGCCGGCUCCACACUGACGCUGAGGCACGAAAGCGUGGGUAUCGAACAGGAUUAGAUACCCUUGUAGUC
rnacentral:rRNA from 1 species